rnacentral:rRNA from 1 species
AUUGAACGCUGGCGGAAUGCUUUACGCAUGCAAGUCGAGCGGCAGCACGGGGGCAACCCUGGUGGCGAGCGGCGAACGGGUGAGUAAUACAUCGGAACAUGCCCAGUCGUGGGGGAUAACACUUCGAAAGAAGUGCUAAUACCGCAUACGUCCUGAGGGGGAAAGCGGGGGAUCGCAAGACCUCGCGCGAUUGGAGUGGCCGAUGUCAGAUUAGCUAGUUGGUGGGGUAAAGGCCUACCAAGGCAACGAUCUGUAGCUGGUCUGAGAGGAUGAUCAGACACACUGGGACUGAGACACGGCCCAGACUCCUACGGGAGGCAGCAGUGGGGAAUUUUGGACAAUGGGGGCAACCCUGAUCCAGCCAUUCCGCGUGAGUGAAGAAGGCCUUCGGGUUGUAAAGCUCUUUCGGCAGGAACGAAACGGUGAGCUCUAACAUAGCUUGCUAAUGACGGUACCUGAAGAAGAAGCACCGGCUAACUACGUG